UACGUAGGGUGCGAGCGUUAAUCGGAAUUACUGGGCGUAAAGCGUGCGCAGGCGGUUUUGUAAGCCAGAUGUGAAAUCCCCGGGCUUAACCUGGGAAUGGCAUUUGGGACUGCAAGGCUUGAGUGCGGCAGAGGAGACUGGAAUUCCGGGUGUAGCGGUGGAAUGCGUAGAGAUCCGGAAGAACACCGGUGGCGAAGGCGGUCUGCUGGGGUCGAACUGACGCUGAGGCGCGACAGCGUGGGGAGCAAACAGG
rnacentral:rRNA from 1 species